AUUGAACGCUGGCGGCAGGCCUAACACAUGCAAGUCGAGCGGAUGAAGGGUGCUUGCUUGCGGAUUCAGCGGCGGACGGGCGGGUAAUGCAUAGGAACCUCCCUGGUAGCGGGUGCUAACGUCCGGACACGGGGGCUAAUACGGCAUACGCGCAUACGACCUACGGGGGGGAUCAUCGGAUCUUCGGCCCUUAGAUGAGUCGAGGGGGGGAUAGCUAGUUGGGGGGGUAAAGGGCUACCGAGGCGACGAGCCGUCGCUGGUCUGCGAGGAUGAUCAGUCACACUGGAACUGAGACACGGUCCAGACUCCUACGGGAGGCAGCAGUGGGGAAUAUUGGGCAAUGGGCGAAAGCCUGAUCCAGCCAUGCCGCGUGGGUGAAGAAGGUCUUCGGGUUGUAAAGCACUUUUGGUGGGGAGGAAGGGCAGUAGGUUAAUACCGGGCUGUUUUGACGGUACCAAAAGAAUAAGCACCGGCUAACUUCGUG
rnacentral:rRNA from 1 species